rnacentral:rRNA from 1 species
UACAGAGGUCUCAAGCGUUGUUCGGAUUCAUUGGGCGUAAAGGGUGUGUAGGCGGCGCGGUAAGUCGGGUGUGAAAUCUCGGAGCUUAACUCCGAAACUGCAUUCGAUACUGCCGUGCUUGAGGACGGGAGAGGAGACUGGAAUUUACGGUGUAGCGGUGAAAUGCGUAGAUAUCGUAAGGAAGACCAGUGGCGAAGGCGGGUCUCUGGACAGUUCCUGACGCUGAGGCACGAAGGCCAGGGGAGCAAACGGG